GGCCGUCAGCGGCUCUAGUGGAGAGUAUGUGUCUUUGUUUGGUAGCACACAUUAUGGUUGAAAGCUAAAUUUAGCUUGUCAGCAGCUGCAGGUGUUUGCUCUCGCUCCCGACUAAUGUUAGUAACGUUACUACCGUUACCGACCCGCCCGCGGUGGCUAAGCCGACCUAGUCUAGUCUCGUCUAGCCGGGCGAGGUGAGUGCCUAGCAGCGGCGGGUCGGUACCGGUCGGCACCUGAAGCUACUGACAAGCUAACGAUAGCUUUCAACCUGUGUUUAUAAACUACAUACUAAUGUGUAUUCAUGCGUUAUAAAUGAUGAAUUCAUUAUUUAUUCAUGCUUAACUAAUGCUUUAUAGUGUGUACUCAUUAUAAAGUGUUACCCAUGGUUUAAAUGCAAAUGUUUAAGUUCUCUAUUAUCAAUAUCAAAGCUAUGAUGUUGAGUGUUUAUCCAGUUUGUUCAGAUGAAUCCUGAUGGAUAGUGAAAGUCAUAUUUUUGUUGUUCCUGUUGUUAUUGGAAUCCUUCUAAUAUUAUUUUCAUCAAAAUUAUUACUCUUUCUAUAAAUUGUUUGUCUUUUAAACAAGCUGUGUUAUUAGCAAGAAAUUAACUUGAUAUGAUCACCUGCUGAAUAUUAUUUUAUCCAUGAGUUUCUUUUGUUUAUUACAGUAUGCGAGAACAGUAAUAAGCAGGGUAUAGAGUUCAUGAAGCUGUUUAUUUCUCGUCUCAGUUAAUUUGCUCUCACUGAAGAGUCACUAUAUUCAAUAUGACAUAUUGUCAGGUGAAUGAAACAUCUUCAUCUGGUUGUGUUUUAGCUGUACAUGAAAUCACUUUUAGUUUUUGUAACAUUUGGUUGCCAGAUGAUCUUUGAACGUGGUUAUGAAACAAAAUGCAACUACAGUUUUAAUACAAGUAAUAAUCAUCACUACAGCAGAGGAUUUAUAUCAAGAAUGAUUUUUUACAUUUCCUAAAGUUGGAUCAGCAAAUGAGACACAUUUUCUUUAACUUAAUUCAUUCAUGAUGAGUGACAAGAGACAUGUAUAGCAUGUACGCAUUGCGUAAUGUAUGUAACUACCACUAGGAAGGAUCUAUGUGAGAAUCCAAUGAAAGAGUUUAAAGUUUAAAGAUAUGUUUUUAUGUAUAAGUGGGAAAGUUACAGAAAACAUUAGCUGGAUGUUUCACUCCCAGUAAAGAUGUGUCAGAGACUCAAAAAGCAGAAGUAUUCAGUGAGGAGGUUUUUGUCACAGUGUAAAUCACUGUGAUACCCACUCAUUAACAGAGCUGUCCCAUGUUUUACAGUAAUAGACUGCUGAGUCUCCCUCCUCCACAUUGUUGAUGAUCAAACGAUAAUCUGAUUGUGACUGAUGAGUAGAUGUGAACUUUGGAGAGGAGAAACCAGAGCCAUAGCUUGGAGAACUACUGCUGUGAUAAAACCUCAACACAUACUGAGGAACUCCUCCUGGAAUCUGUUUAUACCAGCGAGCAGCACUGUUAGUAACAGUCCCCAGGUUACAGUCCAUGGUGGCUGUCUCUCCUUUCCUCUGCGUCACAACAGGAGGCUUCUGUGUCACCACCGUCACACCACUCACACCUGGAAACAACAAGAUGACAUGGAGUCAAGAGAAACACACAGACUGAUGAAUCCAACAUGAGCUCAAAGCUGCACUAUAAAUAAGGAGAGGAGGCCUGCAGGUGCAUCCUGGGAAGGAAGAGAGGGAGGAGUAGAGAGGUGAUGCUUCACUGACGGAGGAUGAAAACUAAGUUUCAUUUUCUCAUUUGAUCAGAUUUUUCUAACGUCUGAACUACUGCAAGCAACUAAAAGCAGGCAACGUAAUAUUAAUCUCUCUGUUGUGCUUUUAUUAUAAAUUAACAUGUAAUGACAACGUAGUUUUCUGAAUUUAAAUAUACACAUUCAAGUAAGAAUUAUAAAUAUAUCUGUAACUUGGUAAAGGUUACAAUAUUGUGUAGAACAUUAUUGUUUCAAAUUAUGUUUUCAAUAAAUCAAAUAAAAAGUUCA